rnacentral:lncRNA from 10 species
AAUUCAGACUGAAAACACAGUAACUCCUCUGGCCCUUGCUGGGAAAUGUCCUGCGCAGGCCAUGGGCAGCACUCCAGUGCAGCUGACCUCCCACAAGGCCCCCAAACACAUGAUCCCACCAAAGGCUUGAACAGGGGAACCUCACAAGCAGGCAGAGAGCACACCUGAGACACAAGGACAAGUAAGUCAAGCAAAUGGGACUGAGAUUAAAGCCAGUGAAUAAAACUAAAGGUCACUUUAAAGGAGUAUAAAGCUACAGUGGACAUAACGUGGCAUAGGUGAUCUUGACACCACAGAACUGUGAAGCCUGCAAUCCUACAAUAUAGAGGGGUAUGAGGAAGACAUCUCAGGAUACUGAAGAGUGUUGCAGAGGACCCACAAAUAGUCCUGAGCAUGAGAUGGUGGACAACAAACCCAUUUUUGGUGUGUUGCAGCAAGAGCGCUGGCCUGCCAUGAUCUGCUACAUUCUACCUGGAAAUACAAGUCAGAAGUCAGCCUGUCAUAUUUUUUCAAAAGGUGACUUGUCAAAAUGAGACUUCUUUCAUAAAAUCAGUCUGGUUGGGCAUGGUGGCUCACGCCUGUAAUCCUAGCACUUUGGGAGGCUGAAGUAGGUGGAUGGCUUGAGCCCAGGAGUUUGAGACCAGCCUGGGCAACAUGGCAAAAUCCCAUCUCUACAAAAAAUACAAAAAUUAGCCGGGCAUAGUGUCACACACCUGUGGUCCCAGCUACUCAGGAGACUGAGAUGGGAGGAUCACCUGAGCCCGGGAGGUUAAGGCUGCAGUGAGCCAGGAUUGGGCCACUGCACUACAGCAUGGGUGACAGAGUGAAAUGCUGUCUCAAAAAACAACAACAAAAAAUCUCUCAAUCUGUCCAAAUAGUUAGAUUGUCUUCAGUAAUCUUUCCAUCGCGAUCUUGCUUUGUUUCUACUACUACUCUGAUGCUACAUAAUUAAGGUCACCAAUCGUUGUCACUGUCUUUCCAAACCUGUUGUUCCUUACUUCCUCCGGCCAUUCUUCCUUGUCCCCCUCCCAUUCAUCAUCCAGACACACACACACACACACACACACACACACACACACACAUACAUUUUAACAAUACCAAACUCCUUGUAGUUCCCCUAAAUGAAUCAUGUUGUUUCCCUUACCUGAAAUGCCCAAUCCCUUUUUUAUUUUCAUUGCUAACUCCUCUCAUCUUUCCAGAGUGUUCACGUCUACCAGGAGUGUUCUUGUCCCUCCCAUUCCUUUCUACUCUAGCUCCACUCACAGUUCUGUGUAAUCCCAUCUUGUGGACUAACCCGUGUUAAAAAGAUUUGUUUGCUGAUUUGAUUCUUCCCUCCACUACACCCCCCCAUAACACAAAAUGAGUCCCUUAAAAGCAGAAAUGUUGCCUCACUGGUCUCCAGCACCCAGUGGAGUAUUUGGUAUGAAUGUCGGUCGAACUGUACUCUCUCCAGUGUGCAUUUUGUUCCAGGAAGACUAGGUAAUAGCAGGAGCAUUAGAAGCCUCAUCUUCAGGGCUGUUUGACAUUGAUUUUUUAAAAAAUACAUUUCCUGAGGUCUCACUAGUGCCAGAAUAUGAAAAAAAUAAUCAUUCUUCUCUGACUAAAGUGGAAUCACCAGUGAUUUAUUCUCUCCUUAAUCAGUAAUACUAGCUAACAUUUAUAUAGCCCUCACUAGGUCCCAAGCACUUUGAACAUAUCAUCUUAUUUCAUGUCUAUAACCACCUUCAGGUAGGCACUGUUGUUACCCUCCAAUUUACAAAGGAGGAAACUGAAGUGCAGGGAGGUUAAGUAAGUGGCAAGCUAGAAUCUGGAUACAGGUUGUCUGGUUCCAGGGACCAGGCAGUUAGCCAUUAUGCUAUGCGGCAUGAUUUCUUGCUUUCCUUGCCCUUUUUUCUUAAAUGUUUAAUUACAUAAGUAGCAUAUCAAUACAUUUAAAUUGUCAAAAAUUCAGAAACAAAGCAAAAACUCACUACUAUUUGAUGGGUAUCUUUCAAGAUCUUUUUCUUUGUUUACAUACAUAUAUACAUUAUGUGUGUGUACAUAUACACAAAGAAAUAUGUAUUUUUAUGUAACUGGAUUAUGCCUUAUUUUUCUAUAGAUUUGUUUUCAUUUAACAAUUUGUCUUAAAGGUCUUUUCAUAUCGAUGCAUAUUGAUCUAUUUUAUUCUUUGAAUGUUGCAUAGUAUGGAUAUAUUCCAUAGAAUGGGUGUAAUAUAGUUUAGGUAACCAUUUUUCUUUUGCGAGUCAUUUAUGUUGUUUCUGAUUUCACUGUUACAAACCAGGCUGCACUGAGUAUCCUUGAACAUGUCUCUUCACAUUCAUGCAACUAUACGUCUAGGAAAGAUCCUCAGAAAUAAAAUUGUUGGGAUGAAG